GAAAGUAAAUAAGGGCGUAUGGGGAAUGCCUAGGCUCUUGGAGGCGAAGAAAGACGUGGUAAGCUGCGAAAAGCUCCGGGGAUUUGCAAACAAGAUUUGAUCCGGAGAUUUCUGAAUGGGACAACCCGUCAGGUAGAAGACCUGACACAUCGUAAGAUGGGCCAACCCUCUGAACUGAAACAUCUUAGUAGGAGGAGGAAAAGAAAGAAACAUCGAUUUCCUGAGUAGCGGCGAGCGAAAGGGAAAAAGCCUAAACCGGUAUUGUUACGGCAAUGCCGGGGUUGUAGGACUGCAACAUUCAAGUAACAAUGAACUGGAACGAUCUGGAAAGUUCGUCCAUAGAGGGUGAAAGGCCCGUACAGGUAAGUUCGUUAUGCGAUAGCAGUAUCCUGAGUAGGGCGGGACACGAGGAAUCCUGUCUGAAUCCGCCGGGACCACCCGGUAAGGCUAAAUACUCCCAAGAGACCGAUAGUGAACCAGUACCGUGAGGGAAAGGUGAAAAGAACCCCGAACAGGGGAGUGAAAUAGAACCUGAAACCAUACGCUUACAACCGGUCGGAGCAGCUUCGUGCUGUGACGGCGUGCCUAUUGAAUAAUGAGCCUACGAGUUACUAAUCACUGGCGAGGUUAAGUGCACGGAUGCACGGAGCCGAAGCGAAAGCGAGUCUGAACAGGGCGGCUAGUCAGUGGUUGUAGACGCGAAACCUUGCGAUCUACCCUUGAGCAGGUUGAAGGUUGGGUAAAACCAACUGGAGGACCGAACGAAUAAGCGUUGAAAAGCUUCUCGAUGACUUGAGGGUAGGGGUGAAAGGCUAAUCAAGCUGGGAAAUAGCUCGUACUCCCCGAAAUGCCUUUAGGGGCAGCGUUGUAAUUAAGAGUCUACUGGAGGUAGAGCUACUGAUUGGAUGCGGGGGCUUCACCGCCUACCAAAUCCUGACAAACUCCGAAUGCCAGUAGUAUGAUUUACAGCAGUGAGCGACCGGGUGCUAAUGUCCGGUUACGAGAGUGGAACAACACAGACCAGCAACUAAGGUCCCGAAGAGUAUACUAAGUUGAUCUAACGAUGUUUUGCUGCAGAGACAGCUAGGAUGUUAGCUUGGAAGCAGCUAUUCAUUCAAAGAGUGCGUAACAGCUCACUAGUCGAGCGGCAAAGCGUGGAUAAUAAACGGGCAUCAAGUAUACCACCGAAGUUCUGGGCACGAGAGUGCGGUAGGGGAGCAUUCCAUUGACGUCGAAGCCAUUCCGCGAGGAUAGGUGGAGUUUAUGGAAAAGCAAAUGUAGGCAUGAGUAACGAUAAUGCGGGAGAGUAACCCGCACACCGCAAGACCAAGGUUUCCUGAUCAACGCUAAUCGGAUCAGGGUUAGUCGGGUCCUAAGGGUAAGCCGAACGGUGAUCUCGAUGGACAAUCGGUUAAUAUUCCGAUACUAACAUAUACCUCGAUGGAGAGACGAAGGAACGUAAGUGACGCCGCCUGACGGAAUAGGUGGUUAAAGGGCGUAGGUAUAGGGACAGAUUAAGAGUUAGUCCUUGCUGAAAUCCGACAGUACGGAGCGGCUACGGCCAAUCUGAUAGUUCACCCAAGUCGACUUCCGAGAAAAUCUUCUAAGUUAUAGUAUAUGUUACCCGUACCGUAAACCGACACAGGUGGUCGAGGAGAGUAUCCUAAGGUGCUCGAGUGAAUCACGGUUAAGGAACUAGGCAAAUUAACCCCGUAACUUCGGGAAAAGGGGUCCCUAUGAGAGUAGGGCGCAGCGAAGAGGUCCAGGCGACUGUUUAUCAAAAACACAGGGCUCUGCAAAUUCGAAAGAAGACGUAUAGGGCCUGACACCUGCCCGGUGCUGGAAGGUUAAGAGGGGAUGUCAUCGCAAGAGAAGCAUUGAAUCGAAGCCCCAGUAAACGGCGGCCGUAACUAUAACGGUCCUAAGGUAGCGAAAUUCCUUGUCGGGUAAGUUCCGACCUGCACGAAUGG
rnacentral:rRNA from 1 species